rnacentral:rRNA from 1 species
UACGUAGGGUGCGAGCGUUAAUCGGAAUUACUGGGCGUAAAGCGUGCGCAGGCGGUGAUGUAAGACCGAUGUGAAAUCCCCGGGCUUAACCUGGGAACUGCAUUGGUGACUGCAUCGCUCGAGUAUGGCAGAGGGGGUAGAAUUCACGUGUAGCAGUGAAAUGCGUAGAGAUGUGGAGGAAUACCGAUGGCGAAGGCAGCCCCCUGGGAUAACGACUGACGCUCAUGCACGAAAGCGUGGGGAGCAAACAGG